CAGUCGCCGCGGGAAUACGGAGGGUGCAAGCGUUAUCCGGAUUUAUUGGGUUUAAAGGGUCCGUAGGCGGAUCUGUAAGUCAGUGGUGAAAUCUCACAGCUUAACUGUGAAACUGCCAUUGAUACUGCAGGUCUUGAGUAAAUUUGAAGUGGCUGGAAUAAGUAGUGUAGCGGUGAAAUGCAUAGAUAUUACUUAGAACACCAAUUGCGAAGGCAGGUCACUAUGAUUUAACUGACGCUGAUGGACGAAAGCGUGGGGAGCGAACAGGAUUAGAGACCCCAGUAGUCCCUGUCUCUUAUAC
rnacentral:rRNA from 1 species